GUAGUCUAACAACAAUGGAAAAACAAACGCGCGUUGAACUCGUGACUUAUAUGUUAAGCUAAAGGUUGCAGUGUUUUAACGUUUGUUUCAAGCUGUUGCUUUAAAUGCCAUGGCGAUAUUCAUAAAAUAGGAGAGUAGCGAUGUUAACUUCUUACCUAAAACCCUGUGAUGAAACAAUUGCAUCAGUGAACGUUCUCCAGUUCGAUUGUACUGUGUCUUGCCGGCGGCAUCAUGAGCUCGCUCUUCGAACGCGUGCUCAAUUUCCUUCAGCGUCGACUGCCUUGUGUCAUGGCCGUUCAAGAACAGGAUGCGGACGUGACCGGCUUUUACGUUCGCCUCUCUGGCGACCUGGAGCCAGAGACUCCCGAGCAAACUUCUUCCGGCUCAACCAGAAACGCUGCUGUACCGGCCGCUAGGACAGCACUUGCACCGCCCAAGCCUCCGCGGCCCCGAACCGUGAAACCCGUGCCGACGGCCUUCCCGUCCAACUGGAGUUCGAGACGGGGCCGACCGGACUACGCACUCAGCGAGCCCAAAUUCUUACCGACUGACCGUGGAUCGAGGAAGAGUGCGCCUUACACCAAGGCUGGGUCGGCGAUGCAGUCGUCGCAACUCCUCGCUGAGGCUCCUGUGCAGCGUCGCCGGCUCCUGAAGCCAUCAUCGGCGAGGCCACCCACGCCGUUCGUAGAGUUGCAGCCCGCAGUGCCGUCGCAGUUUCAACACCGGGCGCUGUCGCCAGGCCUGCGGUACGAGUGGCGGGUGUGACACGCGCUGCUGACUCCAUUCCACUCGCCGCCUAGGCGAAAACCUUCAGAUUGACGACGAAGGUAGCCAACCGGACGUCCACCUCCACCUUGCCUUUCCUUGUUUUAUAUCUCUCUAUAUCUCCCCGUUUGCCGCUUCACUUGCCGGAAACUGUACCUGCGGUCUGCAAAGCGUGAUACCAACUCACCAAGGCGGCAACUUAUUGGUAACUCCAGGAUUCAUUACUUGUGCUGGCAACACUGUUCAAAUAAACAAAGUUGGAUACGA